ensembl:lncRNA
AAACAGUGCUGACAAACCUGAGAAAAAGAAUCACAAACACACCUGAAAAACAUAAUAUAACAUAAAUGUUCAAGGAGCAAAAGAAGAAGGAAAAAAAUUAACAGAAGCACACGUUUCUCAAAGCAGCCAGCUGGGAACACAAGAGCAGACACAUAAAAUAUACAGCCCCGGUCUCCCCCUCGCUCUCACAGGUGGAGAGAGCCUGUGACCGCAAAGUAGAGAAAACGGGGAAAACUAUGUGGAAAGCACUGAGGUGAGAAAUCAAACAAACCAUCAGGGUUUCCACGACAGCACCACACAGUAAACACACGGGAGCUCGGAGCUUUUCCAAACAGAGAUAUUUACAAAGUUUGCCACACCAGUGAGCAGCUGUUACCUCUAACUAAUUCAUACCCAGCAGCUAAAAUCUUAGCCCAAGGUUUUCCCAGUUCGCCGUUUCAGCGAACGGCUUAAAAUGCAUGUUCGACCGAUGAAUGAGCACGGCUAACACGUCAACAAUACAGCUCCUGCAUUAGCUGAAGUGUCUGGAAAAGUAAAUGAAAGAAAAACAACAAACUAGCAUGAGUGUGGCUACACCAAAAAUAAUGAGACUGAAUGCGUGCCUUUCUCAGGUCAUUGGCGAAGCAUUAAACUGAGCUCUUGGCUUGGCUGCUACACAGCUCACAAAAAAAAAAAAAAAAAAAGCAUCACAUGCUGAACUUCACCUUGAUGGCUCCUUGGAAGAAGCCUUGGCUACGGACUGUCCUGUCAGGAGAGCACCACCCACGGUUGAAUGAAAGGCGCUAAUCCGUAUACAGGAAAUACACACAAUCCUACAACAAUCACGCUCAUACAAGGAUACUGCUCAGUCUGACUCAAAGUGUGCUGGCAGACGUGUAUUACUUUGAAUCUGUAGGUUUAGAGGAAUGAAUAGAAUUCCUAUAAUUUCCUAUGCAUUCCUCCUCCCUACCCCACUGGUCACUUGUCUAAGCUUGCCCCAGCCCAUACAGCUUUGUUGACACUCUACCCUUGCCAAGAUCUGGGAAUUUGCAAGGAAAACACUCAUAACGUCCAAAUGGAUUAACCCAUAUCCCCACUUACAUUCUUC